rnacentral:rRNA from 1 species
AUACGUAGGUGGCAAGCGUUGUCCGGAUUUACUGGGCGUUAAAGGGAGCGUAGGCGGAUACUUAAGUGGGAUGUGAAAUACCCGGGCUUAACCUGGGUGCUGCAUUCCAAACUGGAAGUCUAGAGUACAGAGGGGAAAGCGGAAUUCCUAGUGUAGCGGUGAAAUGCGUAGAGAUUAGGAAGAACACCAGUGGCGAAGGCGGCUUUCUGGACUGUAACUGACGCUGAGGCUCGAAAGCGU